rnacentral:other from 1 species
UCCCUGUUAUGAUAAAGAAGAAUUAUUUUUGUUCGGCAUGAUGGUCUCGAAUAAAUCUUGACCGCUUCAAGACUUGAGCAAGGAUAGUAAUACAAUGUAUGCACAAAGCAUACGAGGAGGAAACACACAUGGAACAAGGUAAAGUGAAAUGGUUUAACGCAGAAAAAGGAUUUGGCUUCAUCGAACGCGAAGACGGAGACGAUGUAUUCGUACACUUCUCAGCUAUUCAAGGAGAAGGCUUCAAGUCUCUUGAAGAAGGCCAAGAUGUAACGUUUGAAAUCGAGCAAGGCCAACGCGGUCUUCAAGCUACAAACGUAAACAAAAACUAAUUUGAAUUAACCAUUCAAAAGCCAUUUCCUUCGGGGAAUGGCUUUUUU